UAUAUACUCCCUACGUUUUAAAAUUCUUGUCUUAAGUUUGUCUAGAAAAUAAUGUAUCUAAAUACUAAAACGUGACUAGAUACAUUUAUAUCUAGAAACAUCUAAGACAAUAAUUUUGAGACGGAGAGAGUAUGUC
rfam:Hordeum vulgare subsp. vulgare, WGS project CAJW01000000 data, contig: morex_contig_1571364